UUGCAGAUAUGAAGGUGGCAGUGAAAAAUAAAGUUCCUCUUGUAAGAUCGUUGACAUUCAGAUGUGUUACAUUCUGUAUUAAAACAGUGACAAAGCAACCAUACUUAAGGUUCACAAGGAACAUGUUCCCAUAUGUAUGGAGUCCCUAAUGAUGGAACUCCUGAUGUGAGGAAUGCAGCUUUCUCAGCUUUAGCGGCUAUUUCCAAGGUGUGGUUCAAUCUUCUCGAGGAGUUAUGACCACGUGGUUUCCUUUGAACUAGUAGAAUGAAUAUGAAGAAACCACUUGAGGAUCUUUGCUGCAGCAACUUCAUGUAAUUCCUCUUUGAAGUCCAAUUUGGGAUCUUUGCUGAGUGUUUCAGUUGCCCUUGAGUUGUUGAAUUCUGUCACAGAAAUGAAUCUUUGUUGCAUUAUUCAGAGACUGGCAGAUGCUAGAGUUGAACUCACGAAUGUCUUAUCAGCUUUUGGAGAAAAGUCUUAUGCCGGAAUUGUAAGUGAUGGACCUCAUGGUAUUCAAUAAUGACAUUUUCAUAAAGCUCUAGAUGUUGUAGCAAUGCGCCCGACAAGACGUCAGGAACGAAUAAGGAACAGCUUCAUGCUGUAGCUCCUGCACUGGAUAAACUAUGGAAACAAAAGGAUGAGAAGACAAAAGAGUAUUCUGAUGUUCAAUCUCAAAUACAGAAGAUAUCUGCAGAAAAUUUGGGAUGAAGUUGGUGAAAAUGACGAAGAACGAGACAAAAUUCUUCUCAAUUGGAUCAAUAGUACUUGGAUGUGUACAAGAGGAAAGUUGACCUGACUGUGAAAUCUAGAGCCCACCUUUUUCAGACAUUGGCAGAUGCUAGAGUUGAACUCACCAAUCUAUUAUCAGCUUUUGGAGAAAAGACUUAUGUCGGAAUUCCUUGGAUUAAACAAGGAACAGCUUGAAGCUAUAGCUCCUGCACUGGAUAAACUAUGGAAACAAAAGGAUGAGAAGAUAAAGAGUUUUCUGGUGUUCAAUGUCAAAUAUAGAAGAUAAACUACGGAGAUUUCAAAAAGCAUAUGCAAUGACACCCUAGCUGGGCUGGCGAGACUGUUUUAGCACUAAAGGAAGACAAGAAGCAAAGAUUGCAAAAGGACAAGGUGCUCGAACCAGAAGAGCUUCUCCUAAGGCUGUGGGUUCUGUACCGACUGAGGAGAGUGUAUCUGAUGGAGAUAGAUGAGUAUGAUGACCUUGUUUGUGCAGUUGAUACAUUCAAUCCUUUGGAGAAGUCUGAAUUUUGGGAAGGGUGAAUGCUUCAAAACGGUGUGAUAUGAAAUGGCUGUUGCUGAACUAACCGAACUUGCAUCCACCAAAAAGAUUGCUCCAGCUGAUUUUUCAGAACCCUGUCAGCACCUGAGGAGAUAGAUGAGUAUGAUGACCUUGUGUGUCCAGUUGAUACAUUCAAUCCUUUGGAGAAGUCUGGAUUUUGGGAAGGGGUGAAAGCUUCAAAACGGUGUGAGAGGAAAUGGUUGUUUCUGAACUAACCGAACUUGCAUCCACCAAAAAGAUUGCUCCAGCUGAUUUUUCUGAAUUUUGUUUAACAUUAAAGAAGGUUAUCACAGGUGUACAUUACUGUAGGAAGAAAAAAAAGGAAAGAAAAAAGAAAAAAAGGAAAAAAGAUGGAAAAAGGAAAAAUAAAGAUAAAAAGGAAAAGAUAGAAAAAAAAGGAAAAAGAAAAAAGAAAAAAAAUAUUGUUGUUGCAGUUGACGGUAUUCAAGCACCCGGACAACCUUGCAGGGGUCUGAGAACUCAUUUCUCGGCCAGUUAUCGCUUCUUAUUGCCUCUACUACUGGUUUGAGCAGGACAAGGGAGCCCGAACUAGGAGCUGUUUCUAAGGCUAUGGGAUCUGUACCAACUGAAGAGAGUGUUGUUGAUGGAUAUAGAUGAGUAUGGAUGACCUUGUCGGUCCAGUUGAUAUAUUGAAGCCUUUGGAGAAGUCUGGAUUUUGGGAAGGGGUGAAAGUUUCAAAAUGGUGAGAGAGGAAAGAGGCAGUUGCUGAACUAACCGAACUUGCAUCAACCAAAAAGAUUGCUCGUGAAGUUUUCUUGACCACAAAUGUCUUGAAAUGCCUUGGCGACAACAAAAAGCAUAUGCUUGAGUGUGCAUUGUGUACCUUGGAUACUUGGCUUGGUGUUGCUCAUUCUGAUAAAAUGCUGUUCUCACAGACGCUAAAGUAGGCGCAAAAGGGCGCAAGGAUUUUUUUUAUUGGCUAUCAAGACAACUUGCUGGAUUGGUUGAGUGACGGCGCCAGACCUAUCUUAUAUAUCUCUCCCCUUAUAGUGUCCAAAAAUUUGAGAGAUAUACAAGGUUCUGUGCUUUAGCUAUUAUUGGCAUACAACUGAAGCCAUAUGGAGCUUUGCAAGAUAAUUAUGAAUCUGGUGGAUAUGUUUCGUCAAGCACCACGUCAGAAAGCAGCCUAAUGACAGCAAAACCAAAUGGUCAUGGCAACCACGAAUCCUGGCAUGGAAGCAGAAAUGCAUCUUCAAUAGCUGAACCUAACAAGGGAUCCAGGCAGUUUUUUCAAGACAUUAACUUUCAGUUACAACAAGGAUGACAGAGAAAGGAUUAUUGUUCGCAGAUUCAAAUUAGAAGAAUUGCGUAUAGAGGAAAUUCAAGAUCUUGAGAUGUUCGUAAGUGGCUUUGCUUACUUCUCAAACAGAAUGAUGUCAUGAAACACUUUCGAGAGGAUCUGCAUUGGGCUGACUUCAAAAAGCUAAGUUGAUGGAGUUGAGUCUCUAGUGCUUUCUUGUCUUUGUAUGCUAUAUCUUUCCAUGUGUUCCUCUUGGCAGAUAAGUAGCCGGUUAAAAUCCUUGCACUGCUGAACGAGAUGGAGACACCCUCAAAGUUGCAUCCAAAUACUUUGGCGAUAGGCUAUAAGAUUCUUGGUGAGCUUAUAACUAACUAUUGUUGGGUUGUUCAUUUAGACUUUUCAUACGAGUGAUGGAGAAGAGGAAGGCAAGCCAGGAGAUCCUAGAGCUGCCCUAAGAUGCUCCGAGCGAGAAUGUGUACGAUUUUGACUGGUGCCUUUUCAAGAUCUUGUAAAUAUGUCCUGACUGACCUUUUAACUAAUAACGCCCCUAAUAUUGAAGAUUCAUGUCAUGAUUUUGAUUAGUUGGGUGUUAAUUGAGGUCUGAAGUUGUUAUUGCUUUAGUUGCAGACUUUUUUUGAAGGCUUGCUUAUACAGUUAAGUAGAGUACUCUUGAUAGUUUCAUCACGGAACUGUUGCUAUGGCCUUUGGAAGUCAACUUUUGAUAGGGUUCCACAGAUGGAUGAUGGAAAUCAACUUUUGAGAGCUUUGAAUGUUCUGAUGUUAAAGAUUCUAGUAACUAUCACUGUAAAACUUAUUUGGCAAGCAUGGCUAGUUUUUCUCUCUUCUUAUGAAUAUAAUUGUUGUUGGUGGCCGUAUUGCACAUGCAGGAUAAUGCAUAACGCAGAGCGUACUUCAUCAUUUGAUGUGCUUAUAAUCUCUUAAGAUUUGAUUAUUACUACUUUGUCAACAAUUGGUGCUCUUGGGACUGCAAUGGGACAGCCACUUGAGAAGUCAAGCAAGGAUUAUGGAAUUGGAAUACAUCAUUCGCCGUAAGUAUAUGAUCACAAACAUGCUCAUGCUUAGUGGAAAGAAGCCUAUUGUUGCAUUGUCGGCUGCCACUAAGAAAGCCACGUCUGGAAAAUCUUGUAUUAACAAGAAGGGUGAUGGAGGACAAAAAACAAAAGUUUCUAAGCCUAUGGAGCAUGAAGAUGUCGAGCAAACUGAAAUGAGUUUGGAAGAGAUUUAGAGCAGAUUAGGAUCCCUUAUUCAAGUAGAGACAAUUACUCAACUAAAAAGUGUUGGGUGGAAAGAGCUGCUUGAAGGUAUCAAAAAAUUUGAGAGAUAUACAAGGUUCUGCUUUGGCUAUUAUUUGAUAAUGACUGAAGCCAUAUGGAGUUUUCAAGGUAGAUUUGUUUUGUCAAGCAUCGCGUUUAAAAGCAGCCUAAAGACAGAAUAAAUGGUCAUGGCGACCGCGAAUCUGGGCAUGGAAGUAGAAAUGCACCUUCAGUAUGCGUUCUGUGGUUAAUAUCUUUCUUCUCAACCAUAUAUCUUUCUUUUGAACCAUAAUUUUUUUGUUAAUUGAUGUCCUGUUUAGCCUAACAAGGGAUACAGGCAAGAAUCCAUCUUGUGUGUUCAAGACAUCAACAUUAGCAUGAAGGAUUCAACCAAGAAUAAUGUCAUGAAAUCUUUUGGGAGGAUCUGAUCGGAGGCUCUUAAGUGCUGACUUCAAAAGCAAGUUGAUGGCAUUGAGAUGCUGCAGAAGGCUCUUCCAUCCAUGGGAAGGGAGGUGAUUGAAGUCUUAGAUAUAUACUCUUGAAGUGGUUUGUGUUGUGGUUUUUGAAUCCAACACAUCAUGCUUAUUAAAGGUACUUGAAUAUCUUCGCGUGCUUCAGGAUAUGUUGAGAAGUGUGGGCUACAUUGCGGUACCCCAUCUUUCUUCCUUGCUUGGUUGAUAAGGUGAUAAUAUUUGGAGAUAUUUGGAAGCUUACUUAGAAGUUUAGUAAGUUGAGGUUCACAUCAAUUUUUCAUCUGGUUCUUCCACUAUAACAGUUCUUAUGCCUUUUUGAUUCGUGCACAAGAGAUGGAGAAGAAGGAAUGCAAGCCUUGAGAAGCUAGAGCUGCCCUAAGACUACUCUCCGUCCGAGAAAAUAUGUGCAGUUUGUGAGAAAUUGAAGGAGAAGGAAGAAACUUCUUCAACGGAGGCCCUUACCGAAACACUUCAGGCAAUGCACAAGUCCGGAUGGUUGAGUCUAACUGACACUGUUGAAG